rnacentral:lncRNA from 1 species
AAGUAGAAAGCAUGCUCAGAUUUCCUAAGAGGCAAUCCUUCCCUCAAGGCAGCCUCAUCAAUUUGAAUAACGUUAAUGCCUGCCUUCUCAAGAUCCUCGACUUCGUCCUUGAUGGCCAAAGCAAUCUGGUAGCAGGUUUCAUGUCUGCAAAAUUGGCAGCGAUUUAUGUUAAACAAUGUUUCCAUUUCAAAAGGUUAACCAAUAGUGAACCAGUUCUCAUUUAUAUACCUGGGCUGGUCAUUUCUAACAAAGGACCAGUUGAGAAUGGUGACAGGGCCAGUAAGCAUUCCUUUCAUUGGGCGAGCUGUCAUGCUCUGAGCCAAGGAGGACCAGAAGACGGUCAUAGCCUUGGGACGGCUCACAUCACCAUAGAUGAUGGGUGGCUUCACACAGCGAGAUCCAUAGGAUUGCACCCACCCAUUGGCAGUGAAGGCGAAACCUGAUAAUUGCUCUCCAAAGUACUCAACCAUGUCGUUCCUCUACAAAAACAAAUGUCCCAAUUCAAUAUGAGAUACAGCAUACUUCGUAUGCAAUUAGAAAUGCAGAAACAAAAAUGUAUAAAAUUUUAUCUAAUUCAAAACCAGGAGACAUUGCUUUGCUUCCAUUGGGCAUUGUGAAACUCACCUCAGGCUCUCCAUGGACAAGGACAUCAAUAUCAAGCUCUUCUUGGAGUUUGACAACCUUGUUGAUUUCCUCCUUGAUGGAAGCAACAUAUUCUUCCUCAGAAAUCCUAAAAAGGACAAAUAGUCACGGCACAGUUAAUACAGUAGUCGAAGUAAUUUCACACAUGGCAUUGAAUGAAGGAAAACCUCAGAUUGACUCACUUCUUAGCCUUGUAUUCACGGCGGACUCUCCUAAGUUCAAUGGUUUGUGGGAAGGAUCCAAUUGUGGUGGUUGGGAGGAUUGGAAGAUUGAGCUUCUUCUGUUGAGCAUCCAAUCUAGCACUAACGUUUGUAGCACGUCUGUGGUCUGAUCCCUUCAAAGCAGCAGCCUAAUUUACCAAGAGGAAGGAAUCACCGUUAGCAAAAAAAGGAAACUCUAAGGGGCAGCCACAUCAUAAAAAUGGAAAACAAAUCAAUCAUGCCACUUACAGCCUUUUGAACUCUCUCAUUGGUCACUCUCGGGGAGGACUUUCUUGAAGCCUGAGCUGCAGCAUUGGCAGAGAAGAAUCCCUGGAAACAAAUGAAAAGGAGAAACAAAGUUAGUCUCAUUCAUAUCAUUUCAAAAGGAAUAUACAUAUGCAAUUAGUGGGCUGAUUGUGAGAGAAAAUGUCCACAAAACUUUAACCAAACACCAAAUGCCCAAGUUGCCAAAUGAUGUUUAAUUCGGAAAAAUAUAUUUAGAAACAUUCAAAUAAAUAAUUUCCCCUUCUAAAUUUUCAUUUUCAACAACAUAUUUUACAAGCCAAGCUCAACUUCAGGCCAAGAUUUUCUGCUCCUAUAAUUAUAUUUUACCAUAAAACUAGGUCCUUGAAAGGCUAAGAUUUUCUGACUCUUGUGACUAGUCAAAGCCUAAGAUUCUUUCAAUUCAUCCGUAGCUAACAUUUUAGACUAAAAGUAUACCUCAUCCUUUUGGCCAGCCAAAGCCUUGGCCAAUGCAUUCACUUCAACAACUUUCUGGGCAGCAAAUGCCAGCCAUGACUUGAUUUCAUCGUCGAGUUUGUUCUCAUUAACAAGAUCAACAGCAGUGUGAAGAAGUGAGCAGGAGGUGGAGACCACAAGCUUGUCUGCAAAGAAAAAUAAUAAAUUAUACAACAAAUCCCAUAAAAGAAUAAGAAAUAUUUAUCACAAAGAAAAAUGCAGGCAAAGGAUGUAUACCUUUGCCAACAACACCCUCAAGCCCCCGGAGAACACUAAGAGAAGCAGCAAGAUCAUUGGCCCAAAUGUUCCUUCCAUCAACCACUCCAGCAAAGAGGUACUUGCCAGCAGGGAAUCCACUCUUGAUCAAUUCAAGGGUCUUCGUUCCACGAACCAAAUCAAAUCCAUAAGCGGUGACACCCUUCAAAGAAGUGAGGGUCUGGAAUGCCUCAGCUGGAACAUCAGCAAAGUAGGUCUCAACAAGAACAUUCAAGCCAGACAGAGUUGACUCUAGCUCGGCAUAAGCCUCACUGAAUGCAUGCAAUUUGUGUGAGUCAAGAUCCAUAACAAGCAAUGGCUCAUCAAACUGAAUCCAGGAAGCACCAGCAGCCUUAAGCUCAGAAAUAACUUCCCUGCAGAAGUGUUAAUUGGUACAACACAGAUUAAUGAUGUCACUCGAUAUAUACACACAGAGUUAUUUAGCACAUACACAUUUAUAAAUCAGUAAUAGGUGAUAAUUUCUUACUUGUAGAUUGGAAGGAUUUUCGGAAGAAGAGAAAGAAGAGAAAAGGUCUUCGCAACACCCUUGGCAGGCUUAGACAGCAACAAGUAUGACACAGGGCCAAUAAGCACUGGGACAGUUUCAACUCCAAGCUGCAGCAUUAGACAAGUGAUCGAUAUUAGCAUCUCACAAACUUGAUCUGAUUGAUAGAAAGUUACAAGCAAGUUCAGAAUUCGUUUAAUGAAAUCUCUAUGAAAAAUCUUCAGGGUCCACAAUGUGUUGAAAGUACCCUUUUCAAGUAAUUUAUCUUAAGACUAUUUUGCAAACAGUAUUGCUUUCCUUACAGAUCAAAUAAAUCAAACAACAUAUGAACACAUUUACUGAACCAAGUCUAAGUUCAAAGCUCUAUAAAUAAAUGUCAAUGAAUCUAUAGUAAAUUCUAUUGCAUCCUAAGCUAAAGAUGAGCAUAUCAUAUAAGAAUUUCAAGGUGAACGUAACCCAAUUUCAAUAUAUUGUAGAUUCAGAUAUCAAACGAAAUAAAAUUUGUAAAUAUAGACAGAACUGAGAAUAAACACUCACCCCCUUAGCCUCCUUGUACUCAGUCACAGCCUUGUGGGAAGCGUAGGAGAACUUAACAUCGGGUCCCAAUUCAGGAACAAUGAAAUGACUGCAUCAACACGAAGCCAAACACGCGUCAGCAUUCAGUACAAAACCAUUACACCAUAAAUAACUUGAAAUGCCGCUCUUCCAAGUAGUGAAUACUUACUAGUUGGUGUCGAACCACUUGGUCAUUUCCAUAGCGGGAACAGAGGCGUUUCCUCUGGCCAUGGAGAAGUAAACAUCAAAUCCAAUCUCGCCGCCGUUCCAGUUAUACCUCGGGGGCACGGCACCGAGCAUUGCGGUGGUGUCGAGCACUUGGUCGUAGUAGGAGAAAGUGUUGCUGGGAAUGUAUUUGAUCCCGGCCUGGGACAUCUGUUUCCAGAUGGAGGAUCUGAGAUCAGCGGACACCUUUUGCAAAUCCUCAGCGCUGCUCUUGCCAUCCCAGAAGGAUUCCAACGCGAACUUGAGCUCCCUCUUGGGGCCCAUGCGUGGGUAUCCAACGAUGUGAGAUGCCAUUUUACUGUCAUAAUCACGUCAUCAAUGAAUCGAAAAUCAGUCACUUUCAUUAAAUCAAGAAAAUAUUCAUUCAAAUGGAUGGGUCAUUGCUAUUACUGCUCAAAUCAAAUGAAAUCAAGAACACUUAUCAGAGCAUAAAAUCUUAAAUUAAUUUUUUUAUAAAAAAAUAAAAAACCAGUUGAAACAAGCUGAUAAUAAUCCAAGAGUUUGAGAUGAUUUUUUUCUUUCUGUAAUCACAUGAACAAUUAUGUACUUUCAGUCAUUUUUGAAGGAUUAAAACAAAAAAUUCUACAAAUAGAUUCUGAAAAGAAGAAUCUAAAAAUAGAUUCAAAAACAGUAACACAAGUAGAGUUCAAAUUGUUUUUCGGAAAAGAUUAAUUACAGAUCUGAUUGAUUCACGUUCAGAUCUAGCAAAAUCACGGCAGCCAAACACUAGAUCUAACACUAACAGUCACUCACCAGUCCAUUAGAAAAUGAAAUCAAGUUCAAAAUUCUUUUAAAGUUAAUUCUUUUUUAGAAAAUGACCAGAUUUUAGUUGAGUAUUAGUGAGUUUUUUACAAAAUAAUUUAUUUUUGUUUUUUAGAUCCAAAAGUUCGGAAAUCAAAACCAUGUUCAAUGCUUAUUCAUGAUUAACGGCGUAAAAACGCUACUGCAGAGAAGACAUAACGAAAAUGGGAACCGUACCAAACAGAGAAAGAAGAGCAGAGAAAUUGAGAGUCGAGAGGAGAGAGAGAAGAGAGCGGCGAGUUUGGGGGAGUGCCCUCUCCGUUAUUUAUAGCCAAAAAUCAAAUCUGGUUUGGUGGUUGCCUUUGGCGUGCCAACCUGUAGAUCUGAGAUUUUUCAUCUUAAUUUCUUUCUCUUAUUUAUUUAUUUAUUUAUUAUGAUUUUCAGUGCAGUUCAUAAAAUAUAGAGCUGACGCGCGCUUUUCUGAUGUGGCGCGUGAAUUGGAAAUGCGGUAGGUCUUUGUGGGCCCCACGGCACGGUCAGGACUGAAGGAAAAAUGUGAGAAGUUAUCAUAAUUUCAACAGUGCCAUAAUUAGCAAUUACACCACCAAAUAUUUCUUGAGUUUUUUUUUUUUGAUUGCUUUAAAUGCAGAGUUGUUAUGAAUUGUGUUAAUUGUAGAGUUGUUAUGAUUAGAUUACAUUAUAAUUCGUCACAAUUAUGAUAGGUAUGUACGUAUAUAAUAAUUUAUGAGUAAUGAUAUAACCACAAACUCUUAUACAAACUUAUUUUGUACAAAUUGAUGUGGCAUGAUAAAAUUAGUUGAAUUAAAUAUUACUUGAUCCACAUGAUUUGUUAUUAUUAUUUUAUAUUUUCAUUCAACCAAUGAAUUAAUGACACGUCAGUUUGUACAAGAUAAGUUUGUACAAGAGUUUAUGGUUGUAUCAUCACUCAUAAUUUAUAUAAGAUCUCGAAUAUUUAAAAAAUUUAUAAAUCAUUAUUUUCAUGUACAUUUACCUGGUAGCAAUGACAAUAACAUAAAAUAAACUCCAAACAAGAAUGGAUUAUAUUAUUUAUGUUAUUUUAUAGCUUUUUAAUUGAUUUUUAAAAGGAUUAAUUGUUAAUCAUUACUCUCCAACCGUAAUCACCAUUAAAUAUUUAUUUAAUUUAAUAGUCGGUAGAUCAUAAAUAAGAUUAGAAUAUUUAAUGGACAAUCUAAUUGCUACUACAAUUGUUAUCAUUUUUUUAAGGUAAGGGAUUAGACAAUACUCAAAUUUAUUUUUUAACCCCUUACUCCCUAAAGAUUCGAAUUUAACUAACUAAUUAAAUAAGACUGCUUAAAAACCACUCAACCACAUCUUUUGGGGACCAAUUAAUAUCGAUGUUUAAACUGAGGUUUAUUAUUAAAUUUUUUAAGUUUCAAGUUUCAACCGCUAACAACAUUAUCAUCGAUUAAUGAUAAAUAUAAUAAUAUUUCAUCAAAAAACCAUUUAACACAUCCAUCCAUAUUAAACAUAAGUAAAAAAUUUAUCAUGCAUUUCAAAUAUAUUUUUCAUCCUAAAAGUUAUGGAGAAAAUCUUGAUAUCAAAACUUACAAUGUAAUUAUGGGAUGUAAUUUUGCAUUUGAGGUCAGCACAACUUAAAAAUUACUAUGAAUGAAAAUUUAUAAUAAGCAGACACCACAAAAAAAAAUUAUUUAUAAGUAUUACAAUCAUGCAGUUUUAUUUAAGUAUUUAACCAAGUCAUUCAAUUUCUAAUUAAGACGGUAUAAAUUAGAUUUGGGCUGCCUAAGACCAAAAGUCAAAAAAAAAAAAAGAAUAUUCCUAAUAAGCAGCCUACCGCGGUCACGCGCCUUAAGAAACGCUUGGACUUAGCACACGAUUUUAAUCCAAAAUGUAUAAAAAAGGAAAAAUUUAUGAGGUGUAUAAUUAUCUUGAGUUGUUAUAUUUUGAAGAAACAAUGAAGAAAGUUGGUGGCCGAAGUUGAUCCGGGGCGAAUGGUGGUGGGCCCACGUUGUUGCAUUAUAAUUGGAGUUAUUGUAAUUUUUCUUAUAAUUAAUAAACUCCAUUUUUCAAAGAAAAUAAAUAAAUAAAUACACUCCCGAUUACGAAAAUAUCAUUUCAUGAGUGUCAAAGUUAGAGCUGGCAAAAUUUGACACGACCCGAUUACCUGACACGAACACGACAUAAAUAAAUAAGUAUGGAUCGUCAAAUUUAACACGAUUAUUAAAUGGGUCGGGUCUGGGUCAACACAAUUUUUUUCCGUGUCGGGUUUGGGUUAAAAUUCUUGACCCAUUUACCCGAUCAAUGACCCGAUUAUAUUUUCUAUUUUAAAAUAAUUUACAUAUUCUUAUAAUUAAAACUCAAAUAUUAGAGAUAUUUUUUUUAUUCUUUAAAAUGGUGAAUAUAAACACAGUGUUUUAUUUAUAAAAUUUUACAUACAUUUAGAGCUUCAAUAGUGUAAAUGUGUAAAAAUUAAUAGACAUGUAUAUUUUAUAAUAUUGAUAUAUAAUAUUAUAUAUAUAUAAUUAAAACAUCAAUAGUGUAAAUGUGUAAUAUAUUGGUAGAUAUAUAUAUUUUAUAAUAUCGAUAAAUUAUGUAUGUAUGUAUUUAUGUACAUACGUAUGUAUGUAUUUAUGUAUAUACGUAUGUAUGUAUUUAUGUACAUACGUAUGUAUGAUAGUGUGUAAAUAUUUUAUGUAACUUUUGUUCAAUAUAUAGAUAUUAAACGGGUUAUUGGGUAACCCGAUUGUUUUUCCGUGUCGGGUUUGGGUCUCAAUAUUUUGACACGAUUAUUAAAUGGGUCGGGUUUGGGUCGACCUAAAUUUGACACGACACGACACGAACACGACCCGAUGACCCGUUUUGCCAGCUCUAGUCAAAGUGACCGUCACCUACGCAUCGCGUUUGUUGGGCGGGGUGGGUAAGGUGGGGCGAGGAGUUUGUUUGAUCGUCUGAUUACUUUGAUUUUGAUGAAACGUAUGGACGACGGCGAUGGCUUGCCAGCAAGUGGGUUUAUCAUGAUUUUGAUUGUAUUCGGGGAGAUGCUUAUGUAUAUCCUCAAAACUUCUUGGAAAUGAAAACCGCUGGGGUGGCAAAUCUUGACCAAUAAAGUGUGCGUGAUGUUGCGUUUAUAAAUUUCAAUAAUACUAUUGGCCGAUUGAGAUUAUUUUUAAAAAGUUUAAAAAUAAUUUUUAAAGGUUAAAUGUUAAUUUUAAUAUUGAAUAAAUUUUUAAAAAUUAUUUUUGAUAAAAUCAUUUUAUCCUCCAAUAAAUUUUAAAAAAUAGCGAUACAGUAAUUUUUUAAAAUCUAAUUUUAAUAAUCAAAACUAUUUUUUUAUAUAAUUUUAUAGAUAUCCGCAUAUAUAUAUUAUAAAAAUUCGAAAUCAUUAUUAUUAAUUAGGAAAUAAAAUCAUUAACUUUUAAGAAAUUAUUAUUAUUACCAAUUAUACUGACAUAACAAAAUAAAAAAUUAAUUAAUAUUAUAAAUAUUUAUUUCAGUUAUCAACUAUUAUAUAUACACAAUAAAAAAUAUUUUAUAUACAUAUUUAUAAAUGUAUAAAUAAUUUUUAUUCAAUAUUAUAUCGAAUUAAUCAUUUACAUUCUUGCAACAAGUUAACAAUAAAAUUUACCAAACACAUACGAUUGUUUUUAAAACUCAUAUUAUUUUUUUAAAAAAAAAUUACUAAACCUUUAACUGAUUCUCUUACAACUGAUUAUUUCUACAGUACAAUUAACAACAAUUAUUUUAAAAACUAUAACAUUUUCAAACUAGCCCCAUGACAAUAUUGUUAUUGUUGUUUUUCUUACUCUUAUCAAUAAAACUACGUUGCACAUAAGUGCAUAAAAAUUCACACAAAAUAAACUAUUUAACUUUAGGGUAUUAAUUGAAAAAAAAAAUCAGAUUAAGGUGAAUAAAUAUCAGAAAAUAACAAAUAGAUAAACUCUCACACUCUUUAAAAAAAUUAAUUUUAUAAUUUUAUUUAAAACCAACAGAUAUUACCAAACUUAACGGAUCAAUGUUCCAAUGUUUUCUUUUUAAUUUCAAAACCAACAGAUAUUCUUUGUUCAUUAUAUGACCUCCAAACAAAUAAUUUCAUUAAUAAAAUAAUAAUGAAAAGUAUCGUGGUGAGUACAGAGUAAUUCGGUGGCUAAUAAAAGUCUCUAUUUUUCGUCUCUGUUUUUCAUUUUAACUCUUGGGGUUGGUGCCACUUCGGCCUUGGUCGGAGUGGUGGGCUGCUGCCCUCACAAGUAUUGUGAGGACAGUGGUUCAAGCCCCCACAAAUAUUUUUGUGGGGGCUAACGUACUUAUUUAUUUAAUAUUUCAAAAAUUUCUUCUCCCUCGUGCAAUACGAGUGGAGUAUGGACAUCCCUCCUCUAUAAGGGAUUAUUUGUCUGGGCAUGUACUUCACAGAAUUCAAUGUAAUAAUAUAAGUCUCAAUCAUAUAUUUUUGAUUGUAAAUAUCAAUAUAAUAUAUCUGCUAUAAUAGCAGUUGUAAAUAUCUGUGUAAUGCAAUAAUAUGAUAAUUAAUCAUUAUUCAAAAAAAAAACUCUUGGGGUUGGUAGGCUCGUGAAUGGUCCACGUAACCUCUGGACGUAACACUCAAACAAAGACAGCACAAGGCACAUGAAAAAUGCCUAAAAACCGUAAAACCGUGACGUGUUCAACAUAUUAAUAAAUUUAUACUGUGUUUUCUUUUUUUUUUUAAUACUGUGUUGAUAAAGCACUUACGAUGGAACGACCAAUUCUAUUACUUGCAAAACUAAUUAAUAUUUCACUCUAUCAUCUAACUAAUGGAAGGCCAUCUUAAUUGAGGUUGCAAUAGUUAGAAAGUAGCGGGAAGGGUGGCCAAUGCUCCAUAUUAAUUUGCAUCAAUCCCUUUCUGGUGAAGAAGUACGGGUGAAGUAGAGGUCAAAGUUAGAAGAUGAAGGGUGUGUUUGGGAAUUGAGAGUGAGGUGCUGUAGUUUUUUAGCUGCAGUUGCUGUGAAAUAAAAGUUAUAACUGUGGAAUAGAAGUUGAGAAAAAAAAUUUGUUAAGCUGCCAAAGCCCAGUUACAAAUGUUACCAAACACCUUAGUAGCUAGGCUUUGGCAGCCCAUCUACCCCAUCACACUCCCAAACGGAUUAGAAGGGGACCGGGAUUGCUUUGUCAUAUUUGAAAAUGAUUUUGAAAAAAUAAAAAUUAAGUUCAGAAUUUGGUAAAUUCCUUUAAAAUUUCUUUUAGCAAAAUCACUCUCUCCUUUAGAUUUUGAAAAGUAUGGAAUGAGUAGUUUUUUAAAAUUUAAUUUUGAAAUUCGGAUUCAUAUUUAAUAUAAUACCAUAUAUCAUAACAUGUAUUAUAAAAAUCUAAAAUUAUCCUUAUUCAAUCAAUUAAGAAGUAAAAUCUUACAUUUAAAGAUAUUAUCAUUAUCAAUUAUAUUUAGAUAAUAAAAAAUACAAUUAAUAAAAUAAAAAUAUUUAUUUUAGUUAUCAAUUAUUAUAUAUAUACAUAAAAUGUAAUUAUAUAAACAUAUUUAUAAAUGUAUGUGUAAAUUAAAUUUGUAGAUUUAUGUUUAUAUAGAUCAUUUGCAUUCUUAUCACAUUUUAAAAGUGAGAUUUAUUAAAUAUAUAUAUGAUUAUUUUUAAAAUUUACAGCACUUUUUAAAACAAAAGUAUCAAAAGUUUAAUUGAUUCCUUAUUUUUACUGUACAACUAACAGUAAGAUGUGUUUGGUUCAAGUAUAAAAUGAUGGGAUUGGACAAUUUUAAGAUUAAAUAAUCCUAAUGCAAUGUUUGGUACCAAAAAUAAUUGUGGGAUAAAAAUAGUGGACCCCACCAUUUAAUCCAACACAAUGUCAAAAUUUUAUCACAAAGGGGGGUGUGGGAUAAGCUAAAACUUAAACGUAGGAUAACAAAAAAAAAGCCCAAAAUUUUAUACAACACAGUGAUUUUUUUUUUUUUUUGAGUAUGUCAUCAUCCAAUGAUAGUAUAUAUGCCAGAACACUCUUUUGACGUUAAUGAUAUGUAAUAUUUUCAUAUAUACAGCUAGUGACAUUGUUAUGUAAUUUCUUUUUCAUUUAUAGAUUUAUAUUAUUAUUAUAUUUGUUGAUGAUAUUCUUGUUAUGUUUAUAAUUAUAUUAUUUAGUAAUUUAUAAGUUUAAAAACUAUAACAUGUUAAAUAUAAGAAAAACUUUAAGCGAAGAUUUUGUAUUUUUUAACAAAUUUACCAAUAAUUUUUUAUUUAAGUUAGAUUAUAUUCCAUGUCAUUUUAAAAUAAAUCUAAGAUAAUUUUGAUAAAUUAAUAAAUAAGACAUAUUAUUAGUUACUAACCAAUUUCAUGGCAUACCAAACAUGAGAUAUGAUUAUUUACAGUCUAAUCCAACAUUGCACCAAACGUAAUAGAGUAUUAUAUAUAAUCCAAUGUUAUCAAAUCCAAUCAUAUCUUAUCCAAUCCGAUCCGAUCCAGUCUAAUCCAAUUUGACAUACCAAACAAGCCCUAAUUAUGUUAAAAACUACAUCAUUACCAAACUGACCCUUAAUACAAUCUCAUACAUACAUACAUAUAUAUAUAUAUAUUAAAAAUUAAAAAUUAUCUUUAUUUAGUUAGGAAAUAAAACCAUUAUAUUUAAAUAGAUUAAUAUUAUUACUAAUUAUAUUCAGAUAACAAAAUUAAUAAAAUAAAAAUAUUUGUUUGAUUUAUCAAUUAUUAUACACACAUAUUUAUAAAUGCAUGCGUAAAUAAAAUUUUAUAGAUUUAUGUCUAUUUAAAUCAUUUGCAUUCUUAUAACAUUUUAAAAAAAGAAAAGAAAAGUGAUUUACCAAAUACAUGUAAUUGUUCUUCAAACUUACAACACUUUUAAAAUAGAAUUUAAUAAAUGUUUAAUUAAUUUUUUCACAGCUGAUUAUUUUUAUGGUAUAACUAACAAUAAUCUAUAAACUUAUGGUAAAUAUUUGUGUGAAUGUUGGUCCAUGUAAAGAAGUAAAAACAACGCAUAUAUCAAGCAAUAAGAUAUCAAAACUCUUAGUAAAAUACAUAUACUAAUGAAAGAAUGACAGCAAUGCAAUAAAUAAGAUUAUAAUAUAAAUUAUUAAAAUUGUAUAUUAAAAAUUGAUGUAUGAAAUUCUUUUUAUUUUAGUGAUAGAUAAUGUGAUAUAUUUGAAUAAUUUGAUUAAAUGAAAAGAAAAAUAACAAGUAUGGUUGUGGAGGAAAUAAACCAUUGAACUGUGGAAUGUUAUUAAUUAUUGCUAUUUCAUUAUGUAACGUCCUGAUAAUAAGUACAGUGUUAUAGUAUAUUGAUGGGUGGUGAUAUUGUCACCCCUUAAAUUGUGUAAAGUCAACCUCAUUUACAAAUUUUUUGAUAUAAAUUAAAAAGUACAUUAGUUUUAAUAAAUUAUAUAUUUAUUGAAUAAACUAGAACCGUUAGGGAGCUGUAAUGUUAGCACUGUUUUAACUUAUUAUAAAAAAAAAAGUUAUGAUUUGAUCAUAACUCUAAUUUAGAAAAGAAAAAAGAGUUGAAUUGCUAACAUACUUAAAAAUAAAAUAAAAACAUUAUUAUUAGAUGAAAAAUUGUAAAACUUAAGGGGGCAUUUGCAAGUCCGCCACUACUCAAUAGAGCAUUAUUCAGUACUCGUUAAUAUAUCUCGAACUUUUAGGUUUUUUUAAUAUAUUUUUAAUACAUUUUCUAGAACAUUUAGAUAAAAAGAGUCAGUACUCCAAUUGAGUUGUGAAUAAACAUUUAGAUAAAAAGAGUCAAUACUCCAAUUGAGUUGUGAAUAAACUCAUGUUAAAAAAAAAAAAACUCAUUUUCACACUUGAAACGAUUAGUAAAUGGGUGAUACGAAUUUAACUUGGUCAAUAAUAUAUACCAUCUUAAGUUAACUUCAACUCAUUGAUCUUCUAUAGGGUUGAUCAGCCUGCCACAAGGCCCACAAAUUAUCACCUCUAAUGCUUUUGCAACAGUCGUUAUAAAUGCUGACAAAAUGAAACUUCUAUAUAUUUUGGUUUUUUUUUAUUUCUAUGAAAUAUAAGGCCCUUAUGGCAAAUUUCCAUCCAGCGUGAAAUUUGCUAGUUUGGCCUUGGUACUGUGGCACAUGCGUCAUGCAUGCGUGGCUGAGAUGCUUCUAAAACUAAUAAAUUAUGAAGAAUUCCAAAUUCGUACCAAAAAUAAGAGAAUAGGAGCUUGUCAUAGGUGUCCGCGGAUCGGAUUUUAUGGGUUAAACAUUAAUUCAUAUUUGAUUCGUGAUUUUGUAGAUUAUAAAUUUUUAAUUUAAUUCAAUUUAUGGAUUAGUGAAACUCAAUACAAAUUCAAUCCAUAUAUAUGCAAAUUAGAUGCGGAUUUAACCCAAUGCAUAUUCAAUCCAUCAUUUGGCGGAUUGAUUUGCAAAUUAAAAGUUUUUAAUUUUGUCCAAUCUAAAAAGUAAUUAAAUUAAAAAAAUCUAAUAUAUAAAUAAUUGAUUAAAUAAAAAAAUCUAAUGUAAAAAUAAUUUUACUACCAAUUAAAUUCAAAAUUGAACAAGAUUUAAAUAAAUUUAGAAUAAUACAUUCAAAAUUUUAAAAUAUAACACACCGAAAAAAAAAUUCAUUUAUUUAGAUCAAUACAUGAAAAUUAACUAAAAUUAUGAAUUUAAAUGUUGAAACUUGAAAGCUUGGAUGUAACAGGAAGAAUUUAAGAAACUUGAAGAGCUUGAAAAGAAAGUAAGAAAUUAAGUUUAAUUACCUCAAGUGGUGAAGUGAAACAGUGAUUGGCUUGUGCGUGCGGUGGGAUAGAGAUUUGGUGUUAUAUGUCAAAAUAUUUUGUUUGGCUUGGGGUUUUUGUUUUGCUUUAGAAAUUUUAAUGUUUAGGAAACUAUAUUUGCUUAUUUAAUUAUUUCUUAUUUUAUAUUGUUAUCGAAUAAAAUAUAAUAUUUUGUUAAUUUAGCUAUAAUUUUAUGCUGAAUAUAUUUAUUUAAAACGAUUUUAUUAAAUAAAUGUGCAUAUUUAACGAAGGUCUCUGAAAUUUCAACCUGCCUGCUAAUGAUAGCCAAUACGGCACGACCCACCAAAUGUCGGCCCACGCGGGCUUGUGGGCCAUGACGACUUUUUUUGUAAGGGCCCGGCACGGCCCACGGCACGAGUCCGUGCCCAAAAAAAGCCCACCUACCUUUUUUUUUUUUGUCCACAUGUUCAGCGUGCCUAAAAAAACCCACGUGCCUGACGUGCUUUUUUAAGCCCACCAGCCUAAUAGUAACAACAACAACAACAAUAAUAAUAAUUUCAUAGAAAUAAUUAAUGAAAAAUAAAAUAACAAUUCUAGAAUAACAAUUACAUCUAAUUUUAUUUGAACAACUAAUAUUAUAAUUGCACAUAAACUCUAUUGAAUGAAAAUGUAAUUUUUAAUUUAUUAUAAAAAUAUUUUGUUCAUAAUUUUAUUUUUUUGUGCGUAAAUAUGAAAAAUAUUUCAUUCACAAAUGAAACAUAUCUCCAUUAACUAUUAACUAAGUUAUGAUUUCAUAAAUGAAAUAUUAAUGUCGUAAAAUUUUUUAUUUAUCAUUUAUAAAAUCAUGAUAUUUAUUUAUCCAUUUAAUAAAUUAUAAACAUAAAAAAAUUAGAAUACUUAUUUAAACUAGGACUUAAAUUAAUUUUAAAAAGCCUAUACUAAAAAAAUAUAUUAAAAUUUUUAAUUUCAAGGUAUUUAUAAAAUCAUGAUAUUUUAUAUUUAUUUUUCAUUAAAAAAUUUUAUUUUGAUAUACUUUGGCCCACGUGCUAUUGGUGGCCCACGGGCCGCGUGCUUAGCCCACCAAUAAAGUGUGCUUAUUACAUGCCUUUUCGCGUGCCGUGUUUUGCCCCAUCUCUAAUCAUACCGUGCUUUUAAGGCCUGCGUGCCUAAAAUUCUAGGCCCGCAUGCCGUGCCGUGCCGUGCCGUGCCUCGUGCCGCCUGGCCCAUUGGCCAUCCCUACUGCCCGCCAACCACAUUUGUCCAAGAUCAAUUUGUAGGAAAAAAAUUUGAAAAUCAAUAAUUUAUUUAAUUAAUUGUUAAUGUAGGCAUUUGAAUCCCCACAAAAUCUGGGUGUCAGUUCUAGACUUCUGGUGAUAUAUUUUUCUAAUUAAGGAAUAAAAUAUUUUUGUCAUUUUUUUAAUAUUUUAAUUUACCAGGCAUAUCAACUAAUUAAUUUUUCUACUUAGACUAUUAAUUCAUUACGUGCGCAAUCUGUAGCCCGGCGCUCCAAUCCCAUGCAUGUUACACACAACUCAAUCAUUAUUUAUUUAUUUAUUUAUUUUGACCAACAACUCAAUGUUUUUUAUAGAGCUGUCAAAAUUUGACACGACCCGAUUACCCGACACGAACACGACAUAAAUAAAUGGGUAUGGGUCGUCAAAUUUAACACGAUUAUUAAAUGGGUCGGGUCCGGGUCAACACGAUUUUUUUCCGUGUCGGGUUUUGGGUUAAAAUUCUUGACCCAUUUACCCGAUCAAUGACCCGAUUAUAUUUUCUAUUUUAAAAUAAUUUACAUAUUCUUAUAAUUAAAACUCAAAUAUUAGAGAUGAUUUUUUUUUAUUCUUUAAAAUGGUGAAUAUAAACACAGUGUUUUAUUUAUAAAAUUUUACAUACAUUUAGAGCUUCAAUAGUGUAAAUGUGUAAAAAUUGAUAGACAUGUAUAUUUUAUAAUAUUGAUAUAUAAUAUUAUAUAUAUAUAUAAAAUUAAAACCUCAAUAGUGUAAAUAUGUAAUAUAUUGGUAGAUAUAUAUAUUUUAUAAUAUCGAUAAAUUAUGUAUGUAUGUAUUUAUGUACAUACGUAUGUAUGAUAGUGUGGAAAUAUUUUAUGUAACUUUUGUUCAAUAUAUAGAUAUUAAACGGGUUAUUGGGUAACCCGAUUAUUUUUCCGUGUCGGGUUUGGGUCUCAAUAUUUUGACACGAUUAUUAAAUGGGUCGGGUUUGGGUCGACCUAAAUUUGACACGACACGAAACUGACACGACAUGAACACGACCCGAUGACCCGUUUUGCCAGCUCUAGUUUUUUAAUAUGAAAAGGUAUUGGUUAGCUUUGUCUUUAGUUUUUUCAACUUAUAAUAAGUUUGUAUUAAGGCUCCCUUUGGUACAGAUUUUCAAGUAAAACUUAUUUAGGGUUAUUUUUAGGGACCUCCCCUGAGGUUUGGUGUAUUAACAAUCUGAUAGAAAGUAUUCACGUAAUUACAAAGACCUCCCCUGACAUUUGUAUUAUGUUAAGUGGACUGUUAUUGACUAUUGAAAAUCCAAAAAUACCCUUCCUGCCAAAAUAUUUCUUUAUUCACUGAUGAACUGAUGGGUAAUUCGUGCCAAAAUCACAAAUUACUUAAGAAGAUGAAAAUAUCCAUUGGAUAAAAAAAAUGAAAUUGCUUAAUAAAAAAAUUGACAUUGCAUAAUAAUAAAAAAAAUUGAAAUAAUGUGCGGCGGCAUAGCUGCAUCUUGCAUGCAUAUUAUUAUUGUGAUUUUUUUAUUACAAACUCCUUCAUAACUAAUACAUGCCACAAGAGCAGAGCUAUUAAAAGAAAUGAUUUUCAUAUUGUAAACUUGAUAGUACAGGUGUUGGCACCGACCAUAAAACCCUUAUGAUACCAAUCUUUGCUCCAUCCAUAUUUAAAUCCAGAUCAAGUAAAUAUUAAAUUGGAUUUCAGGUCCUGAAAAUCCUACUCUAUAAUUGAUAUCUUCGAGUUUUGUUGGUGCCUCAAACCUGGAUCUAGAGCAUCAUCUCUGUCAUACUCGGAACACCUAAACUAAUGGACUUGCUGCAGCUGCUUAUUCUUCUUCUGAAAUGAUGCACGCAUAUAGAUUACAGACUUUGAAAUAAGAAAUACAAUAAACAACAUGUAAUCGAACUUAAGAUUUCGGCACACUUGUUUGAAAAUUAGAAUCAAACAAGGAAAAUGGCAAGUCAAUAUUUUUUAAUCUAGAAAAAGGGAAAUUUCAAAGUUUAUCACAUGCCAAAUUCAUAGUCUUGCAUCCACUAUUUUCUAGUUUGAAUAACAAACAAAAGCCUUAGACAAAAACACAGAGAACAUCUCACAUGGGAGCAAAAAUUGUGUGUAGAACAAUAUACUUAAGUUACAUGUGAUUACAAUCACAUUAUUUAGCAAAUACAAAAUUACCUUCUCAAAAAAAAAAAAAAAAAAACAACACCACCAAAUUAUUGAAGGUAUUACAACAAUAAGGCAAAAGAACACCAAAGGCAUGCACAAACCGAAACUAACACACAACUCAAUUAGUGUCAUGACCCCAAACUGAACAAUCAUAUAAGCCAUUGUGGGCUCUCUAAAAGAUUAUCACAUUAUAAGCAAACAGAAACCUAUAUUUGAUGAACUACAUCUAGUACUUACACAACUCUUAAAUCAUUAGGAAAUUGCUCUUAUCAGUCAUUACCCAAUAGUUUUUUUCAACUCAACACUAACAACCCCAAAGAGAAACAACAUCCAGCACCAUUUUCAUUAAUUAAAACAGACCCAUUGUUAUUUUUAAUCAAUAAAAUAACAACAAUAUCGUGUAAGCCACUGAUUCAAGCAUUCAAGCUGUGUUUUCGAAGACUGACCUCUUCUUGCUAUCUAAUUCCAGUCACGAUAGACGCUAGAUGCCGGCAAUACUCGCUUCUUGGAAGCUCUGGACCACCGCACGACGUCAUCUUGUGCAGUAGAUGAAAAUAAAUCAAUGAUUUCAGAAAUUAUUUGUGAGUUGCAGACGCUUCUUCUCCAUGGAUGAAAAUGAUGGUGGGUUUUGUUCAAGUGUAAGCUGUGUUUACGAGGAGAAGUACACUUUGUGAAAAAAUCAUUUUCUUUCAUCUACUGGAUAAUGACUUUGGACUGGGUAAUGGUGUGUUUAAGUCUCUAUUUCACGGACAUUGAAGCAUAUUUUGCUUGAAUUUUGAUUUUGUUUAAAUUUCAAGUUUACUUUUACUUGUUUACCCUUUUAUACUGACGCUUAUGUAUUUUUAUACUAACGUUAAGGGAGGUCUUUGUAAUUAUAUGAAUACUUUCUAUCAGACUGUUAAUACAACAAACCUCAGGGGAGGUCCCUAAAAAUAACCCAACUUAUUUAAAUAGAACUUUUACAAAAAAAAAUUUAGUUAUUUGGUUGUCAAUAAACUUUUCAAGUAUACUUUGUUUGGUACAGCUUUUCAAGUAAAACUUAUUUAAGUAGAGCUUUUACAAAAAAAAAAAAAUUAGUUGUUUGGUUGUCAAUAAAAAUUUUUAUUAAAAAAAAUAUGAAAUUACUUUAUUAGUCAAGUUUUUUUAAAGUUAUGCUAUGAAAAGAAUAAAAUAAGAUUGUCAAAUAAAUAGAAAAUAUUUUAAAUAUUUUAACAUUUAAAAAAACUUUUUAACCUUUAUUUUCAAAAAUCUAAAAUUUAAACUUUUACUAGUAAAGGCAAAAUAAUUUAUUUAAACUUCAAAAGCUUUAUUAGAAAAAUAAUCAAACAAUAACAAAAAUUAUUAUAAAAGCUUAUCGAAUUAAAUAAGUACUUAUAGUUAUUAAAGAAGUUAUAUCUAACAGACACUAAUGCCGAAAGCCCCUUCUAAUUGUGGGUGUAAAAGUUUGAAUUAUGCAUACGGUUAAGGAGUUAAGGUGUGUUUGGCAACUGCAUUAAGUGGAAAUUUUUAUUUUGUUUCGAAUAAAAAUACAGCAAGCUCGUGUUCGGCUCAAAAUAAUGGAACGUUUAAUUUGCAACCGUCGGCGGACGAAGCACACCGUUCACGGCCCUUCGUAUAAAAUUGCAUAUGUAAACGUAAAUAGGUCCGGAUUCAGAUUCGUUGCUGUAGAGAGUGGCACGCACGAUCGGGCUGCUGUCGGUGGUAGGUUGGCAUUGGAAUUCUCAUCACGCGCUUCCCCAGGCGCCUACUUAUGGCAAAUUGACACGUGACGCGUGUGGAUUGAAUGGACAGAGUCCCGGGCAGUGUGUCCAAAGCUGCCAACCGUGCUCUGAUUUUUGUCAUCCAUAAUGGCUAACGACUAACGAGGGAGAUUUCCGGGCAGAAAGAAAUUGUUGUCGUUUCUGAAGGGGAAAAAAAAGUUAUUUAAUUUGUUGUUGAAGACAAAAUGAAGAUCUAAAUAAAUAAUGGCUAAUUUUGAGUGUAAAGCAACGGUAAAUGCAUUAUUAAAUUAGAUUUAGGGUCUGAUUGAGAUUAUUUUUAGAUUUAAAAUUAAUUUUGAAAAGUUAAAAUUAAUUUUGAUGUUUAUUAAUUUUUAUUAAAAAUUAUUUUUGUCAAAAUCUCUCAUCCUCCAGCAUAUUAUAAAAAAUAAGGAAGAAAUAAUUUUUUAAAAUUUAAUUUUAAGAAUCAGUUUUAUACUUAAUAUAAUCCACAUAUAUCCUCGUAAAUAUUAUAAAAAUUUAAAAUUAUUCUUAUUUAUUUAGGAUAUAAAAUUAUUAAAUUCAAACAUAUUAUUAUUAUUAUUAUUAUUGUUAUUAUUAUUAUUAUUAUUAUAAAUUCACACACGCACACACAUACUUAUAAAUUUAUAAAUAAACUUUAUUUAACAUUUUGUUCACUUAAAUCAUUUAUAUUCUUAUAGCAGUUUAACAUUAUGAUUUACCAAACACAGAUAAUUAUUUUUAAAAUCCAUAAUAUUUUUUAAAAUAAAUUUUAAUAAAUGUUUAACUUAUUAUUCUGACAACUGAUUUUUUUUGUAAGGUAUAACCAUUAAUAAUAAAUAUUUUAAAAGUUACAGUAUCCCCAAAUUGGCCCUUACUAAUACUCUGCGUUGCCAACUAAAUACUAAUUGUAACAUUAAACAUCUGGAAUAUUUUUCUCUAACGAAACAACACAAUUAAUUUCCCUCUAAAAAAGAAAAAGAAAAAGAAAAAAUAAACUACCAACCCCACCCCUUUAGACAGCAGAGUUUUAGCUGAGGCGGCUUGCUUGCAUAAGCAUUAAGGCUGCUCUUCACCAACCAUUGAACAUUCUUUCCAUUUGAUUGUUACACUUUACUUCGCCAUCUCAUGUCCAUGUACAUUGUUUUGAAAUGAAGACUUUGCGUACAACUAAUCUUUUUCAAUUCAUAAUAAAAACUCUUUUAAUUAGUUAAUAGCUAUAGCUUCCAAUUGAGACUAUAUAUAAAAAUCCAUAUUGACUGACCAAACCAAUAAUUUUUAAUUGGCUUGAGCAUUGUCUUACUUACUUCAAAAUCGUCACUCUCUUUGAAAAGAACAUGAGAGAGUUCACCUCCAUCUCAACCCUUAACCCUAUAUCUCAGUCAAGAGAUUAUUCAUGGAAAAUUCAGAAAAAAGAAAUGUUGCAAUAUUUACGAAACUCACGUCACGUGAGGUAAGAUAAAUUAUUCCUUUCUGCUUUAAUUCAUGUACAUAAUCAUGAGAAUAACUUUAAUUAUAGUUUAUUUCUCCGUUUUAAGAUUUUUCCUUUUUUUUUUUUAAUUAAUUAAUUAUAGUUCAUUCAUUAAUCCCAUAAGAAAUUAACACCUUUGCCGGUAAAGUCACACAUACAACAAUAUUUUAGAACAAAAGGGAAGAUCAUGCACGAUCAUGAUGUUUUAUUAUAUCUCUAGCAAUAUAAUUAUCUUAUAAUUAAUUAAAAACAAAACAGGUAAUUAAGCCAAAGUGGAUGGCAUGCAUCAAUCAUCAUGCAGAACACCUCCCCUUGUUUUAAAUAUAAAUAAAAGAAAUUUGUGCCCAGAAGACUUAAUUAAUACUUCUCGUUUCUGAAGUGCUCACAUGAUAUAUAGUCGGACGCAUUAUAUUUAAUUUCAUGAAUUAAUCGUACGGUUGUAUUUUGAGAGAGAGAGAGAGAGAGAGAGUGACUGAGUAAGAUAUGGCUUAAUUUAACCAAAUCUACGUAUAAAAUUUUAAAAUGAAUUUUUGAGUUUUAACUUAGGAAUUGUCUAUGAAUAAAAGUGUUAAUCAAAUAUUUCGUGUAAAAACAGUCAGCUGUAACAUUUUCGGUUGCUUUAACAAAACUGUAUAUUUCUGUAAUUUCCUAUAUGGGCCAAAAGGAACAUUUUUCUCAGAAAUUAAAAACUUAUGGUGAAAAAGAUAAGAAAACCAACAGGUUCAAAGGUGCGAGUAAACUGGGCUCUGGUGCGCCCAACUCCCUCUUUUGAUUUUGAGACUCUAUUGACCAUUGAGUUUGAGGCCCCAACGGCCCAGUUUAAAACUGUUAUGAAAAGAAAAAAAAUAUAACUAUAAAAUUAAAAUUAAUAAUGUUUGAUAAAUAUAAUUUUUAAAUAAUAAUUUGACAAAAAUAAUAUAGGGUCUUGUGUAUAUUUUUAUUUGGCAUUUCAAUUAAUCUGCUUAUAUAUAUAUAUAUAUAAGUUAAUCUAUAUUUCUUGCAAGAAGAUAGUAUUUCUUUAAUUAAAGUCAUAACUAAUAUAUAAAUUAUCAACUAACCAUCAAACAUUUAUCUCAUUUUAUCUCCACCACGAUCAUCACCAUUCAUCCUGUCACGAUCUUUAUGUAACUACAAUUAUUUUUUCUUUAAUAAUGUCAACCCACCAACCCCAUAACAAUAUCUCCAAACAUCUCAUCUCAAAAUUCCUAAUAACAUAAGUGUUUAUGUAUGAAAGAAAAUGUGAAAUAUAUAAUCAAAAAGUAGUUUAAUAAUAUAAUGUUUAAAAAUUAUGGUAAAAAUAAGUGAGAGUUUGGCAUGGCAAGUUAAUAAAAAGAUAAAAGCUCGGACACUUGAUGCAUCAAAGUAGCAAUGUCUGUCCAUCAUUAUCAUCAUGCGGGUUUAGGUGCUUCUCAUGAUAGCAUUAGCUGGUAAGACCAUCAUGCAUCGUACUUUCAUUGUUAUACAUUUUGAAGGUAAGAAUGGUUAUGUUACGUCCCUCCGAUUAGGUGUAUUUUUCUUCUUCUUCUUCUUCUUUUUCUUCUUCUUGUACGUAAUAAUUUCUCUUUCUUCCAUGAAGAUUUCUUUCUCUCUUUCUUUUUUUUUUUUUUAUUAUAAAUAAAAUGAUAAGAACUAAUUUCCUUACUAAUUGGUAGGGUCGUUUAAUGGUUCAGAUCCAUUAGAUUUUGUCAAAUUCAAGUCCAAUCCAUCAUAUAUUCCAUUUUAUAUUCCGGAUCCGAUCACUAAUAGAAAUCCAUUAUAAUUUAAAACAAUAAAACGUCGAAUCCAAUUUAAUUCGAUAUGAUCAAUCCAAUUAAAAUAAAAAUUUACAAAUAAAAAUCAUUAGUUGCUCUCUCCAGUUAUAAUUCUUAACAAUUAAAAAAAAUACAAAAUAUCAACUCCUUUAAUAUUUCAUGAUUCAUGUACUUUAUUAUCAUAUGGUUGGAAAAAAAAGUUGAAAUUUGAAUAUUAAAAGCAAAUGUUGGUUGCGACCUGCUGUUUGUAUUCUAUAUUGUUAUAGUAUAUUUAUAGUUAUUUUUUUAGCAAGUUAAAUAUAAAAGUGACAUAUAGUUUUUUUUUAUAAAAAAAAAUAAAUAAAGAAAAUAAAAAAUUAAUUGGUUGGAUUGGUUUAUAUUGGAUUUGAACAUAUAGAUCCAUAGACCAAUCUAAUAACAUUAUAUUUUUUAUUUUGCAAUCUUAUCCAAUCCAAUCAAAAUGUCAAUAUGACAAAAGUUGGAUUGGUUUUGAUCAGAUCGAUUGGUUUGAUUGGAUUGAAUUGAAUUAGAUCUUGAACAUCCUACCAAUUAGACUUUCCGUGAUUUUUUUUUUUCCAAAUUUAAUAAAGAGACUUCCCAUGAAUGUUAAAUGCAGUUUUAUUGAUGAAUUCUGCAAUUUUAAGAAAUGUUUGAUACACGAAUAAUGCAUCUCAUCAACCAAGUAACUGCGUCCCCUGCAGCAGCCGCGGCUUCAACUGGAAUACUGCAGCCACACCGGUCUUGAGACUCAACAUUCGGCCGAAACUCAAGCAAAAGUUGAACAAUAUCAGGCCUGCUUUGAGCUAUAGCAAUAUGAAGCAAUGUUUGUCCCUGCGCACCAGCAGAAUCAGCUGGGUGGGUUCCAAGCAGGGUCACUCUGUUCAAGAACCUCUCUUAUCUCAUCCAUUUCACCAUCCUUAACUAGCUGAACCACAACAUGGGACCCAACAAACAUGAUCUUGAUUCCUAUUGAUGAACGCUGGCUUCUUCCUUCUUGUGAACCAGUCACCAGGAACCGAAUCAAGCAUCAAUGUUGCAUCUUUAAUUGCAGCUGCAGGAACGACAACGCUAUGCAAGAGGAAGGAAUCAUCACAGUGAGGGAAAGUAUGAAGGAGAACUGAUCCUGGAGGAAGAUGAUACGCAAUCUCUAUGCUUACUGUUCCGAGUGGUUGCAUUGACCUGAAUAGUUCGAUCUAUUUCUCGUGUAUCUACUUGCGCUGCACUUUCACUCGAAGAACCUACAAAAUUAUUCAUAACCCGGCAUAAAAAAGACGUAAAGUUUUCAGCGCGAGCAUGGUAACUUCAAAACCCGUUUCAUACCUAUCAUAUUUCAUUCGUCCCGCACCCUCAUUUAAAAGACUAGAGCUUAUAAAAACUAGAAGUACCUUACCCAGAACAUAAAAGCAGACAAAACCCAGUCGAGUAUAAAUAUAACGUUGAAUAACACCUACCAUUUACCAUUUCAUUCAAGAACACCACACAAUUAACGAAACCAACAUCGGUAUGUUUUCAGCCGUUGUACUUUCAACUUAAUUUUGAAAGCGCGGCAGCUAAAGCCUAAACUGUUGUUUGAUAAAAGUCCACCCACUGACUGCUACCUGGCGGCUACCGAUUCCAUUCAAUAGCAGUCAUAAAAUAAAAAGUACAAAACAAACCUAUGUACAAAAAAGGCAAUGAAGCAGCCAUGGAUUCAGUUAUUUGCAUGUUUGGGAUUGUGGUUGAUUCCAAAUUGAGAAUAUACUGCGAAAUUAUGUUUGAUAAGCAUUUAUCUGAUGAUUGCUACUUUAUUGAGUGCCUGUUUGGUAUGGCUUAUUUAAAAGCCAUAAGUGCUUAUUUAAUCGUAUAAGCACUUUUUUAAAAUUUUUAUGGUGUUUGGUUAUUUUUUUAGUAGAGUUUUUUUAGCUUAAAUAAGCUAAUUUACCUCUACUAGCAAAAGCCCAAAAUUUGAGCUUUUGGGAGUAGAGGUUAAAGAGCUUAUCUAAAAAAUAUAUAAUAAAAAAAAUAUCAUACAGUUUAAUGAUUCAAAAGUGUUUUUUUUAUUGACAACCAAACACCCAAUGACUUUUUGUCCAAAAACUCUAUUGGUAUAAGCUCUAUUGUUAUAAGCUCUAUUUAAUAAGCUGUACCAAACGGAGCCUGAGUCUUCAAAGAAAAACUCAAUCAACUAAUGCUCGAUUUUUUUUUUUAAAUGACAAAUCAAAAAGUAUUUUGGAGUAGAUUCUCAAAAGAGUGAUUAUUUGAUAAUCCACCAUAAUCCCACUUAGUUAUCAGAAAUAAAUUAAAAUCCGACGAAUGUUACUUAAGCCAAACAGCAUUAUUUUAUUUUGACCACAAGGACCACAACCCUCAAGCUGUCAAGCAACCGUUACCGUUAACGACCAAUCUUUCACCUCUCCGAAUCUUUGCAAGUCACUAUCAAGCAACCGUUACUAAUAUUUAAUCAAUUAUUAGGAUUAUUGGAUUUCUCAAAUACCUUAUGUACUUUGGUUCACUUUCUACUAAAAUAAAUAUUACAGGAGCUUUCAAAGUCUAGGCUAAGGUUGUUGUAAACAUAGAGAGAUUCAGAGAUAUAACAGCUUGUAAUUACAUACCACAAAGCAUAACUUUGUUCGAAUGAUAAUGAUCAUAAUCCAGAUUAUAGACGUAGAGAGAGGAGAAGUCGUACUUGAGGGGCAAAACGCGGCGUUUUGGCUCGUGGAUGAGGUGCUGCUCCUGAUCGUCGUAGAUUGAAGGGAGGAGAGGUCGGUCGAGGAAGUUUAGGAGACGGUGGAGGCUGAAUUGGUGAAUUUCGAUGAAGACUGACGAAUCCAAUGGGGCUUGAGGGUUUGAUUUGCAAAGAUGAAAGAUAAGAGCAUUGUUUUGGUUUCUGUGCAAAAAAAAAAAAAAAAAAACAUGACAAGCGUUGUUUUGGUUUUGGUUCUAAAAAGAUGAAAAUUUGACUGCAAUGGAUCCAUACGCAGUCGGUGUCAAAUAAGAGGAGAAACAAAUAUGUUAAUCACUCGCUCAAUCACUCAUGCGAAGUGCCUUUUUUUUCGUUGCUUUGGCUUCUGAGAAAUAUAUGCAUCAGAUAUUACAACUCUCGAGGAUAAUGCAUUUUGUUCCGGUUUUGACUGAUAUUUAGUGGCAUUUGAUAAACUGAUACCUCAGAACCUGGUAGAGAGUUUAUUAAAUACAAAGAGAACAAAAAUAUAUGACUAUAUAAGCUUUUACACGGUUGAAGAUCCGGUCAAAUUGGCUUUAGUUAGCAAGAUCAUUUAAAACUUUCAAAAAACGAAUGGUAUCAAAAAGCUCUGAGAAAAAGCGGAAAAAAGGCACCACAAAGAUCUUGCAAUUAUUAUCACAGCUUGAUAAGACAUGGAAAUGUAUCUUACAAAUUGGCCUUCCAAGCAUCAAAGAAUUGGGUGGCGACAACUCCCAUUCCUAGCUGCUACCGUGGCCAGUCCCUUCUAACUAAAAUGGGACAGGACCAAAAGCAAGGUCUCUCCCACUCUCCUUAUGUAUAUAAAAUUCCCUACAUUCGAAUAAAACUACAGAAAAAGAUUUGCACAUCAUCUUCUUUCACCUUAUUUUGCAAUCUUCAAGAGUUUGGAAGAUUUCAAAGCACUUGUUAGAAUGUAGCACUCCAUUAAGCAUUCUCACCUUCCCCACACCCCAAUGGACCUCCUUAAUCCUAUCGGCAGACCUACAAAUUCUGCUGCAACUCCAAUCAAAUAAAGCAACACAAUUGUUGCCUGCCUAAGCCUUCCACUCACAGCCUGCAAUGACAAGUUCAUGAUACAAAAUCAGAAACAUUAAUAAACAAAAAGAUAUUACCAUUACUUGCAGAGGGGGAUUUGUUGCAAUUAGUAAAUGCCAUACUUAUCACUUUCAUUGCAGAUAUCAUCAUCAUCAUAAUACUAGCAAUCCAGCACUAAUAGUCAGAAUAAUAAUAAUAGUAGCAUGAAUAAAGAAUUUCUGCAGAGUAAGCUCUAAAGAUGCCGAAAGUGUCAUCUAUUAUGUUAAUAAUAAAAAAGUCUAUCAAGAAUUCAAGGAAAGAAAACUCAUUAACAAAGAACUAAACUUUUUAAUAAUGUUUAAUAAACUACGUACCUAUGAUUUUCUAUUAUUAACAUAAAUGACACUACGUACAACUGAUUUUCGCUUUCUAAUGUUUCAAAUCAUACCGAGAAAUAUAACAAUUACCAAGUCAGUAAGUAGCACAAUUACUUAAUAAGACUUUGACUUGUCUAACCCAAAAUUGUACCCAAUUCUAUACUCUACCAUGAAAAGCUUAUGAAGCCGAACUUACUUUGACCAAACAGUACUAUUAGCUCAGUUAAAGGAAACCACAAUUGAACAAAGUUCAGCUGAAAUAACUGAACUAAAAAAACUUGAUAAAAUUAAAAGUAACUUAUAACAGUUUAGUAAAGAAGCAUACAAAACAUGAAGAUAAAUAAACAUAGGUCUAUUUUCUUGACACUACCAGGUCCUUUCCUUUUUUUUUUUUCAGAUAAGAUCUCGAUACUACCAAGUUUUGGAUUCAAAAUCACCAUAUUACAAUAAUAGUUGUGAUUCAUGGGAUACAAUAUGUAGCAGCUUAUAUGUCGGCAAUUAUAGUCAAAGAUGGUUGUCAAACAUCAUCGCAAAUCAAGAAGCUAAUAAAGACCAUGUCACACUACAUUAACAUAUAUCAGUUCUUUGAUACAAAGAUAUUGAAUGUUAUACAUUUCUAAUCCCAAGUCCUGAAAUACAAAACAAAAGUUCACUUCACACAGUCAUAAAGCUAGACUGCUAGAUAAAUGGACAAUAGGCAUUGGAUAUGGGUCAAUAAACUAUUAAGCUAAUUAAUGCACACGAAGGAAUCCGUUAGAGCUAGUAAAAUAGCCCUUACCAGAGAACUCGCAGAAGCAUUCAAUUUCCUCAAAGGAGAUAACUUACAACAUAAACAUUUUGAUAAGCAGCAACACACAUAAAAUAGCUUCACUCACUAGCAACAGAGCAACUUCUUCAACACAUUAAUAAAUCCAUUUUCAUUUUUAAACAACAAAAUAAUGCCCAGUUUCUCCAGCACAAAUAGGGUAAGCAGUAAUAGAAAAACAUGAUACAUAGGAAUUACCGGCCUCAAGAAAUCUCCAAGCUUUCUGUCCUCUGCUUCAAUUGCUCAAUCAAGAAUGCCCCAGACGUUGCGCUAGCGUGGUGGUGGAGCGUCGCGAAGCGUGUGGCGGCGGUGUCGGCGAAGGCAGGUCAUGAAGAUAGUUGGUGUCGCGCAGCGAAGGCAGUGCAGCUGGUGUCAUGCGGCGAAGGCAAAUCGCGUGGUGGUGGAGUUGGGGUCGCGCGGCAGUGGCGGUGCGGUGCUGAGGCAUAAUAGUGGCGGUGGCGUUGUGCGACAGUGGCAGUGUGGAGGCAGAUUGCGUGGAGCUGGCGGUGUUGAGGCAGAUCGCGUGGAGGCAGAUGCCGCGGUGGUGGAGUUGCUGUCGCGAUCAACGCCUGUGAAAGGGAAUGAAAGUGAAGGAGAUACCUACAAAAGAAAGAACGAGUGAAAUUUUUUUUUUUGUUCAAGGGUUUCAAACCCACAUAAACCCGACUCUCACACGGGUUCAGUAAGUUUAUGCGGGUUUGACUGCAUUACAAAUUGGUAUGACCACAACAACAGUACAAUGAUUGGUAAUUACCAAACAUGCUAUUUAUGUUGGUAUUAAAUUAAUUUAAUACAAUGAGGAGUGGUAAUAUCAUACAAUGAGGACUGUUAAAUAUGGUGUGUUUAAUAUGUUGUAUUGUAUUAUAUUAUUUUAAUACAAAUAUAUUAUAUUAUCUUGUAUUAUAAUAAUAUUAUAUAAUAUUUUGUGCUACAUUGUGUUGUAUUAAUUUAUAAUUAUAAUAUAUUUAAUGUUGCACCACGCUGUACUAAUUUUUUUAGUAAUCAAUUUAAAUUAUAUAUUUUACAAAUAAUAUUUAUUAAAAUACUUAAAAAUGCUAAAUAUGAAAAUAUUGAAUUUUAAAAAUUUAAUAUUAUUUUUUUAAUAUAAAUAUUAAAAAAUAUCAUAAUUCUUCAUAGAAAUCGAAGUUCAUGGCAUUAAAUUUUUAACGCCGCAUACAUAAUAAAAAAUUUGAUUCUCUAGUGCCAAUAUAAUAGAAUACAUAAAAACGAGACUGAGAAACUACGAAUAAAGCUCAUCAUCAAGGACUCCACAACAUUAUAAGAAGUACUAUGUAACAUUUGCCAAAUUACAACACCACAUCAAGACAUAUCACAAUGUAAAAUUUUUCCUAGAGAUUUGGUAAUUGAAAAACACAAUUCAAGUUGAAAACUGAUAGUCGACUUGAAAAGUUUUAACAUAUCCCAUAAAAGAAAUGUGCCAUGCCAAAAAUCCUAACCCUUGGCUCUUUGACGAUAAGAAAAUAUUGAAAAUUCCAAAGUACAGUGCAAUGGGAGAAAGAAUGCCUAUAAAGCUAGUAAAGAUAUUCUUAAACUACUAUUGGGAUGUUGGGCUGGUUGGUAGCAAAACCCAAACCCUGCUGCUGAUUUCCGAUACCACCAUCUUGGAUAAGCCGCUCUCCCUCCUCUUCCUAACUCCUAAGCCCAAUAUCUUUCCAAAACCUUCACAACCCACUCAUAAAUCUCAUUGUUGUCGUGGAUAUGCAAAUUCUCAAUCUUUUCUACUCCAUCACACUCAUCAAUCAUUUGGGUAUAAACAUUAACCCAAUUAUCCAUUCCUAUUUCCUUGUUAACCUCACCCACCUUGAAAAUGUUCUCAAGACCCUAUAGACAAACUGUGACGAUCCUUUGGUCCAGACAAACCAGAAGAUCACAGAGCGGUUUGAUGCAACCUUGGCUCACCAGGAAUCUGCAGGACCAUGGUACCAUAAGUGAUUCUAUCACAUGAACAUCAUUAGAUUAAAAAAAGAAAAAAAAAAGAAACAUCUAUCGUAUGAACAUUGCUGAGUGAAUAAAAGAAACAUACUGAAUAUGUUCAUGAGAUCCUCCAUAUGUGGCAUUUAAGACAGGCCAUGCAGCCUCCUUGAUUUCAAGUUCUGCAUGUUGAAGAAGAGGUGCACAAAAGGAAGGAUAAGGAAGGAUGAUAUUGGCCUCCAUAACAGCCUGUUGAACAAAAAUUCGACAAAUUAUAAUUAUGAGUAUAUUUAAGUAGCAAUUUUGUCAGAAUUAACUAGACUUGACUAUUGAGGAAGUCACAUUCAAAAAUAGAAAAGACGAGCAAGCAAUUGUAUUCAUGCUAUCGGGACCAAAAUACUAUGAUGCAAGCAAGAAAGAAAAACAUACAUACAUAUAAAACACUAUCUUUGAGUUGGGUAUUUUCUUUCAAUUUUGAUAAUGGCAACUUUGGAUUCUUCUGCUGAAUUACCACCACCACCACACCAUUGUAGUUUCACAUACUAAGAAAAGGCAGGUUCAGCUCCCGUGCAUGCCCAUAAGAAUAUGAUGUAUUAAUUAGAAGUAAAAUUAAUCUGUUCAAUUAAGUUCUCUCAUAUAUUUGUGUGCGUGUGUGUGUUAAUUAGUUUGCUUUCAAAUCUUUUCUCCCUUCUUAAUGAUAUAUAUUUUAAGCAUGAUAUCAACCACGAUGAAUUUAUUAGCCGAUUUUUAAUUAUACAUUCAGCAUGAUAUCACAAACCAAGAGCUUAAGUUAGCCUAAUUCUUCAUAAAUCUAAUAAUUGCAAUCAAUAAUAAUGCUGAAAAUACGAGUUUGAAUUAAGCUAGCAACUGGUUCUUAAAUUAUGCAAUAUGUAAUCAUAGGUUUACUUAAAGAUUAAAGCAUUUCUGCAAUCCAUUGUGCAAAAAGAUUAAAAAAAAAAAAAAUAGUUGCCAAAUUUUAUCUAAAUAAAAAUUCCUUUAGUGGUUAGUACUUGUGAAUUAUAGAAAUUAUUAUUAGUACUUGCUCAGCGCUUUUUAGAUUUGUACAGGUAGAUUACGCCAUUUCAAACCCGACCAUCCAUUUAGACAUACAAAUCCCCCCAAUUCCCUGUCCUCCGCCUUUACGCGACUCUCCACUGUAUGUGCCAACUAAUUAAUUUUUUAAUUACUUGUUUAACUAAUUAAUUCAUUUUCUCAAAAGCAAGAUUAAUCUAUUUGUUCAAAUCUGAAGGAGAUUAAGUUAAUUGAUUUUAUUGUAUGUAAAAAUAUACAAAGAACUCAUGAAGCCAACUAGAAAAAAAAAAAAAGACAAAAAAAAAAUCAAACCCAGAAAUAAAAAGACAUGCUUCGACAGAAAAUUAAUGAAAAUUAUACUGAUUGUGGUUCAAUUUGAUCAAACCCAAAUAAUAACCGGUUUGAUUGAUGACUCAGCGGCAAAGUGCAGGCGCAUCAGUGGUUGCACAGAUGAGUGUUCUCGUGCGGCACGACAAAGCAAUUGUCGGCGAUUGUGAUUGGUGAUGACAUCGAGCGAUGGGGGUAAUGGCAUCGGUCGUGACUUUGUGAUGGAGAAACGAAUGUUAGAUUCGUUCGAAGAUUCGUGUUUUGAUUGAAUAACAAAGAGAGAUUUUAUGAGUUUUAAUUAUCUAAUACGAUACCGCAUAAACCCGACUCGUACGUGGGUUUAUUUUAUGCGGGUUUCGGUGUACUAAAGCAGUAAAUUUAUGUGGUGCAAUUCAAACUGAUUUCACCGCCAAAAGAUCGUGUAAAUUUAAUAUUAUACAGGGUUUUAAUACUAUGUAAUCCAAUACACCAAACAUGCCCUUAAAAACGGAUAGCAAUCCGGGGCCUUUAAAAACGGAUAGCAAUCCGGGGCCUUUAAAAACGGAAAAUACAAGCAGAGAAAAAGAAAAGCCAAUUGUUCAAAAGUGCCUAAUAUGCCCACGGAAAAUUUUCGUCACGACCCACAGUUACUCGAAUAGGUAAUAAGACAGGAAUGCCUUUGUUUGUUCGAAUAUAGAAGCACAAUGGCUCAGAAAGGAUCCCUCCAAUCUCCUUGGCACUGUCAGCUGGGUGCGGAGUAGCUUGGUGGCAGCAACCAUGUUUGAGAGGGCUGGCUUCACCUCAGUGUACUUGCGAGUCUUGAGACCACAGUCAGGGUUAACCCACAAAAUGUUGGUUUCUAGCACAGUACGCAUCUCGUAGAUUCUGUCAACAAUUUCUUCGGUUGAUGGUAUUCUUGGAGAGUGGAUGUCAUAGACGCCAGGGCCAAUUGCAGCAUCAUACUGGACUCCCUCACGGAAGACUGACAGGAGAUUCUCAUUAGAACGAGAGUUCUCAAUGGUGAUCACAUCAGCAUCCAUGUCGAUAAUUGAGUGGAUAAUGUCGUUGAAGUUGGAGUAGCACAUGUGGGUGUGGAUCUGUCAAUCAAUAAACAAUAGAAUGAGAUACAAAAUCAACAGCUAAAUUAAAGAGAUGAGAUUGGAGAUUAAAAGGGUAACUGACCUGGGUAGUGUCCUGGAUGCCACAGUUGGUGAUUCUGAAGGAGUGGACUGCCCAGUCCAAGUAGAAAGCAUGCUCAGAUUUCCUGAGAGGCAAUCCUUCCCUCAAGGCAGCCUCAUCAAUUUGAAUAACGUUAAUGCCUGCCUUCUCAAGAUCCUCGACUUCGUCCUUGAUGGCCAAAGCAAUCUGGUAGCAGGUUUCAUGUCUGCAAAAUUGGCAGCGAUUGAUGUUAAACAAUGUUUCCAUUCCAAAAGGUUAACCAAUAGUGAACCAGUUCUCAUUUAUAUACCUGGGCUGGUCAUUUCUGACAAAGGACCAGUUGAGAAUGGUGACAGGGCCAGUAAGCAUUCCCUUCAUUGGGCGAGCAGUCAUGCUCUGAGCCCAGGAGGACCAGAAGACGGUC